GGUUAAGCGACUAAGCGUACACGGUGGAUGCCUUGGCAGUCAGAGGCGAUGAAGGACGUGCUAAUCUGCGAUAAGCGUCGGUAAGGUGAUAUGAACCGUUAUAACCGGCGAUUUCCGAAUGGGGAAACCCAGUGUGUUUCGUCACACUAUCAUUAACUGAAUCCAUAGGUUAAUGAGGCGAACCGGGGGAACUGAAACAUCUAAGUAUCCCGAGGAAAAGAAAUCAACCGAGAUUCCCUCAGUAGCGGCGAGCGAACGGGGAGCAGCCCAGAGCCUGAAUCAGUGUGUGUGUUAGUGGAAGCGUCUGGAAAGGCGCGCGAUACAGGGUGACAGCCCCGUACACAAAAAUGCACAUA
rnacentral:rRNA from 1 species